GACAAACGCUGGCGGUAUGCCUAACACAUGCAAGUCGAACGGACAGAACAGGGAAGCUUUUCGGAGUGGAACUGGAAAGUUAGUGGCGGAUGGGUGAGUAACGCGUGGACAACCUACCUUGUAAAGGGGAAUAACCUCGAGAAAUCGAAGCUAAUACCCCAUAAUAACCUUGCUUCGCAUGAAGUAAGGAGGAAAGGCGGCCUUAGCGCUGUCGAUACAAGAUGGGUCCGCGUCUGAUUAGCUAGUUGGUGAGGUAAAGGCUCACCAAGGCGACGAUCAGUAGCCGGCCUGAGAGGGGGAACGGCCACAUUGGGACUGAGACACGGCCCAAACUCCUACGGGAGGCAGCAGUGGGGAAUCUUCCGCAAUGGGCGAAAGCCUGACGGAGCAAUGCCGCGUGAGUGAAGAAGGCCUUCGGGUUGUAAAACUCUGUCCUUAUCGAAGAGAGAGUGUUGUAGUAACUGACAAUACUAGGACGGUAGAUGAGGAGGAAGCCCCGGCUAACUAUGUG
rnacentral:rRNA from 1 species